GAUGAACGCUGGCGGCGUGCCUAAUACAUGCAAGUCGAGCGCACAGACGAGGAGCUUGCUCCUCUGACGUUAGCGGCGGACGGGUGAGUAACACGUGGAUAACCUACCUAUAAGACUGGGAUAACUUCGGGAAACCGGAGCUAAUACCGGAUAAUAUAUUGAACCGCAUGGUUCAAUAGUGAAAGACGGUUUUGCUGUCACUUAUAGCUUGAUCCGCGUCGCAUUAGCUAGUUGGUUAGGUAACGGCUUACCAAGGCAACGAUGCGUAGCCGACCUGAGAGGGUGAUCGGCCACACUGGAACUGAGACACGGUCCAGACUCCUGCGGGAGGCAGCAGUAGGGAAUCUUCCGCAAUGGGCGAAAGCCUGACGGAGCAACGCCGCGUGAGUGAUGAAGGUCUUCGGAUCGUAAAGCGCUGUUAUUAGGGAAGAACAAAUGUGUAAGUAACUAUGCACGUCUUGACGGUACCUAAUCAGAAAGCCACGGCUAACUACGUG
rnacentral:rRNA from 1 species